AUUCGACACCCUACCUUGGUGGAAUACUUCUGGUGAUUGUUCUUGCAUGGCUGGGUGCUGUAAGGUCCCUCGACUCACAGUUUUCAACCCUGGCAAAGCAAGAUCUCGAGAAAGAAAAGAUGCUGAAAGCACAGGCCGUCGAAGUCGAAACAACUGCCAAAGUAGUCGGGACUGGAAAUGGUUCUCUCCAAGAAACUCUAGCUAGUGAGCCAUCUGCAAAUGGUGCAGCUACCAAACAGUCUCGAGAACCUGAGAGUACAACCACGGAGAAAUCAGGCCAAGAACCUGAGAGUACAACCACGGAGAAAUCAGGCCAACAGUCUCAAUAAGUUUUCCCCAAGAAAUUUAGUUAGUACAAGCCUUUGGAGGAACCAAAAGUUUCUUGGGCCUUUUAUCUGGAGCUGCUGAAGAAGGCAGGAAUGAUUUGAGAAAUAAGAAGGCCUGUUCUUCU
rnacentral:lncRNA from 1 species